UCCGUAGGUGAACCUGCGGAGGGAUCAUUACUGAGUUUACGCUCUAUAACCCUUUGUGAACAUACCUAUAACUGUUGCUUCGGCGGGUAGGGUCUCCGCGACCCUCCCGGCCUCCCGCCUCCGGGCGGGUCGGCGCCCGCCGGAGGAUAACCAAACUCUGAUUUAACGACGUUUCUUCUGAGUGGUACAAGCAAAUAAUCAAAACUUUUAACAACGGAUCUCUUGGUUCUGGCAUCGAUGAAGAACGCAGCGAAAUGCGAUAAGUAAUGUGAAUUGCAGAAUUCAGUGAAUCAUCGAAUCUUUGAACGCACAUUGCGCCCGCCAGCAUUCUGGCGGGCAUGCCUGUUCGAGCGUCAUUUCAACCCUCAAGCUCUGCUUGGUGUUGGGGCCCUACAGCUGAUGUAGGCCCUCAAAGGUAGUGGCGGACCCUCCCGGAGCCUCCUUUGCGUAGUAACUUUACGUCUCGCACUGGGAUCCGGAGGGACUCUUGCCGUAAAACCCCCCAAUUUUCCAAAGGUUGACCUCGGAUCAGGUAGGAAUACCCGCUGAACUUAAGCAUAUCAAUAAGCGGAGGA
rnacentral:rRNA from 4 species